UACGGAGGAUGCAAGCGUUAUCCGGAAUGAUUGGGCGUAAAGCGUCCGCAGGUGGCUAUGUAAGUCUGCUGUUAAAGAGUGAGGCUCAACCUCAUAAGAGCAGUGGAAACUACAUGGCUAGAGUGCGUUCGGGGCAGAGGGAAUUCCUGGUGUAGCGGUGAAAUGCGUAGAGAUCAGGAAGAACACCGGUGGCGAAAGCGGCAUCCUGGACCGGCAUUGACGCUGAGGAGCGAAAGCUAGGGGAGCAAACGGG
rnacentral:rRNA from 1 species